UUGGCGGUGGGGUCGACCUCGCGCGUCACCACCAGGUACUCCCGCAACGCGAUGGCGUGCAGCUGUUC
rfam:Mycobacterium sp. E2978 contig_90, whole genome shotgun sequence.